GCGACGUCUCUCCGUAAGCUCCCCUUGCUCCCCACUCUCGGCCUCCCUCACCCUAGCCGCACACUCUUCCUUCCCACUCUCGGCUUAACCUAGCCGCACGAGUGAAGGCGGAUCUAGCACCUUGGCAGUGGCAAUGAUGAAUCCUCCUCCUUCCAAGCAGCGUGGAUCAGUGCCAUGGCGACCUAGCGCGCUCCCUUCCCGACCUUGACCUCGAAGAACGGCUUCCCCAAGAUCGCUUUCCCGUUCGUGUAUGAUUUCCUUCUUCCAUCAAACAAUCACUCCUGAUGUCAUCUCAAUCUCAAUUUUGCAGAGGUGUUGCUAUAUUGGAUGUGGUGAAUUUAUUUGGGCAGAUCCUGGAGAUAGGGAGGGGGAGGUUGUGGCUGCGGGCAAUGGCGAACACAACCAACAGAGGCAUGGUGCUCUCCGCUGGUUCUACUCCCUGGUUGAACAAGCUCCUGAUCCAUGUUACAAGACAGGUGAAUAGCAAUGAAUUUCAGAGAUAAAGAUUGAGCUUUGAGGAAACAGGCCUUGACAAGGAUUGGCUGAAUUAUAGUCGUGAUUUUCUGCUUUUCAGAGCAUUUUGCGGCUGAAUUGAAUACUAUUUGGAAAUUUCUCAUAGUAAUAUUGUUUGUUCCACUCCUUUUAUUAUUCUGUGAAGAGGAAUAAAGAAUCAAAUUGUUGUUUACUUCAGCAAUGUCAUGCCCCUGUCGUCCGGCCUCCGCGCUGGUUUAAGGUGACUGCUUUUUACAAUCUGAAAGCGAAAAGGGAGCUAUACACAACCGCUCCAUAUAUUUUUGGAGAUACGGGAAGUAUCAAAGGUGAGGUGUAUUUCGUACAAGGUUUGAUGAGGACAUCAAUACAAUUGUUACACCCACAACCCCUGCUGCUAUAAAUACUGGACCAAUUACUAGAGCUCGCGCACGCCAACUAAAUUACCAGGUACUUUCGUUUCUUG